rnacentral:rRNA from 1 species
GUGGGGAAUAUUGCACAAUGGGCGCAAGCCUGAUGCAGCCAUGCCGCGUGUAUGAAGAAGGCCUUCGGGUUGUAAAGUACUUUCAGCGGGGAGGAAGGCGAUAAGGUUAAUAACCUUGUCGAUUGACGUUACCCGCAGAAGAAGCACCGGCUAACUCCGUGCCAGCAGCCGCGGUAAUACGGAGGGUGCAAGCGUUAAUCGGAAUUACUGGGCGUAAAGCGCACGCAGGCGGUCUGUCAAGUCGGAUGUGAAAUCCCCGGGCUCAACCUGGGAACUGCAUUCGAAACUGGCAGGCUAGAGUCUUGUAGAGGGGGGUAGAAUUCCAGGUGUAGCGGUGAAAUGCGUAGAGAUCUGGAGGAAUACCGGUGGCGAAGGCGGCUACCUGGACCGAUAUUGACGCUGAGACGCGAAAGCGUGGGGAGCAAACAGGAUUAGAUACCCUUGUAGUCC